GACGAACGCUGGCGGCGUGCUUAACACAUGCAAGUCGAACGGUGAAGCACCUUCCUUUUGGUGGGUGUGGAUGAGUGGCGAACGGGUGAGUAACACGUGAGUAACCUGCCCCCUUCUUCUGGAUAACCGCAUGAAAGUGUGGCUAAUACGGGAUAUUCUGGGUCUGUCGCAUGGCGGGCCUGGGAAAGAUAUUGUUUCGGUGGGGGAUGGGCUCGCGGUCUAUCAGCUUGUUGGUGGGGUGAUGGCCUACCAAGGCGGUGACGGGUAGCCGGCCUGAGAGGGUGGACGGUCACACUGGGACUGAGACACGGCCCAGACUCAGACGGGAGGCAGCAGUGGGGAAUAGUGCACAAUGGGCGCAAGCCUGAUGCAGCGACGCCGCGUGAGGGAUGGAGGCCUGCGGGUUGUAAACCUCUUUCGCCAGUGAAGCAGGCCUGUCCCUUUUGUGGGUGGGUUGACGGUAGCUGGAUAAGAAGCGCCGGCUAACUACGUG
rnacentral:rRNA from 1 species